CUUGGAAGCCUCUGCCACCACUCAGAAUGUGACUGCUGUGAGGAGUUGUCAGCUGAGGAAUAAAUGUGCUUUAUUAAUGAUGGGGAGGAAGUUGCACAAGAGGCCCCAGGCAAGGCUGAAGGGAAGGACUUGGAGCCACGACCCCAAAAUCAACAGCUCUUUCCACAUCCAGUGUUGGUGGUGGAUGCUGCAACCAACAAUCAAACUGUUAACCCACAGUUUUGAGGUUGGAAUGAGUCAAAUCAGGCCCAGUUUAUCAGGUAAGAUAAUUCCAUUUUUGUACACUAUCAAUUCUCACAUUUCCUGUUUGAUAACUCAUGAAACCAUUUUUAUUUCAGCCCUGGGAAAGGCACUGCUGGUGUUGAGUUUGAAAAAUCAGAGAUGUUAA
rnacentral:lncRNA from 1 species